UGGAUAUGUUACUGUAGGAGACUUCUCAGGUUUCUUUUAGAUCAGAGGUCAGCAAACUUUUUCAGGAAAGGGCUGGAGAGUAAAUAUUUUUGCCUUUUGUGGGCCACACGGUCUCUGUUGCAACUGUUCGUCUCUGGCCUUGUAGCACUAAAGCAACCACAGAAUACAUAAACAAAUGUGUGUAGCUGUAUUUCAAUAAAACUCUAGAUACCAAAACAAGCGAUGGGCCAGAUGUGGUCUACAAGCUAACUGUAGUUUGCCAUGUACGUUCCUUGGGUCUAUUCACAUUUUCCUCCAUUCAACGUUUACUGAAAAGCUGUUAUCUAUUUAAAGACAUUUAGAAUAAAGAGCCAGCCUCUGCCUUGAGCCUAGGGAGGAGCCAGGAACAUAAACACACAAGCCAGCAGGAUACAAUGUGAACAACACUGUGAUCAAGGAGAUUGGAGAAGGCUUCUUAGGGGAGUAACAGCUGAGUUAGGAUUCUGCAGAAUGAAUAUGCAGUUUUCCAGAUUCAGGAAAGGUUUUAUCUAGGGAAACAUAAUAGCACACAUAAGGUGACGUGUGUUUAUGGCAGCCGGGGAGUACUGUGGUGGUGAUAGUGGGAAGUGAGAUGGCAAAGAGGAAAAGGGCCAGAUGAUGAUUAAAUGCCUUACCUGCCGCAGUGAGAGCAUACACACAUGCUCUGAUAGCACUUCUUAGACGGGAAUUCUGAGGGUCAAAGCAUGCCAUCCUGGGGUUGGCCCAUGGCAGCACCAGCCAUGAAGAGCAGCCAGCCUGGCAGGUGUGGAGAGGCCCCAGAGAACCACAGAAGCAGCCGCAGAAGUGAUGAGUGAGCAAUCUCCAGAGGAGAUCUCUGAAGAAAUUGCUGAUGAAAGUCCAACAGGCUCUUCCAGUUUGUCUGGUCGGUCACAUUUGCUGAAACCUGGAGGAAUUGUUAGUGGAAGCUCAACAGGCCUGACUCAGUCUGACUGUCCAUUCUUCUGGAAGCUGCAGAGAAAAGAAACCUGGAAACCUUAUAUGCUGACAAAAAGGGACACAAUUGGAUAUGAUGGUUAUUUUACCAAGGUUUUGAAAUGUCGUGCUUUCAAAUAUAAACAGACUGCUUUAAGGAAUCGAAGUUGACUUAUAGAGCCAAUAAAAGCCCUGCAGGAAAGCUGGCCUCAUACUUUGUCUACACAGUCUCUGUACAGGUUUCCUGACCUGUGGUGAGUAAAGAAUGUCACCUUCUGAAAGUCCAGGGAUCCCAAGUUAUCUUGGGACCUGGAGAGGAGGAAAAUUCACCCAACUCAUACAGGUAUAUUUGCAGCCGUAGAUAAAUCUGUGGAUGGGCUCCAAGGCUUUAAAAAGUAUAAUCUGAGAUUCCUUAUGGAACAAAGUUUCAGCA
rnacentral:lncRNA from 1 species